rnacentral:lncRNA from 1 species
AUGAAGAUAGGUGCGGCCACACUAAGCAAAUUGCUCAGAGAAGCUCGUACAGAAAGUCACUGGAAAUGGGCGCACCGGAGCUGGGAAGAAGCUGAAGCUGAGAGAGGCGGACCCGCGCACACAACUGCCUCUCACUGGAACUGUCAUUUGAUAUCUAUUCAACAUACAGAACAAUGGAUCAUAACUUAUGUGACGUCCCGAAUGCCACUAAAUCCAAAUUAUCAUCUCCACAUAAACAGGCCUGCUGUCACAAUUAUCUAUAUGUAUGAAGGAAGAAAUAAUUAACAUGAAGCAGAAGGUUGAAGAGACAAAAAUGUGUGUGCAGAAAAGAAGCACAAAAAGGACUCUCCAGAGAUCUGGUAAACUCUAUGGGCUGGUUGAAACCAGAAGAAUGGGUAAACUCAGAACUCCGUGUGUCAGCUGAAUCCAGGCAAGGGUACUGUAUAUGUAAGUAAUAAAAGCUUGCUUAAAAGGUAUUUUAUAUAUUAG